rnacentral:lncRNA from 1 species
GUUUUUGGUUACCUUCAAGUUCAUGUAUGUUGAUCUGUAACUGUAUCUACUUGAUUUAAGCUGAUUGUCAUUUAAGUUGAAACACAGUUUGAAAGAGCUGCAUUUUCCACUCCCCUCUCCCAUGUUUUGGUUUUAUGAUUUCAUAUUUUACAUCUUCGUCUGUCCCUUAACUGUUUACUGAGUUACAGUUAAUUUAAAAUUUUUGUCUUUUAAUCUUCAUACUAGCUUAUUCAGGUAAUUGAUCCAUGAUCUUUACUAUAUAUUUGCUUUUACUAGUGGUAUGUUUCUUUUCCUAUAAAUUCUUUACAUCUUCUUGUAGCCUUCACCACUUAGAAAAGACCUUUUAACACUUCUUGUAGGGCCAGUUUAGUAUUGAUGAACUCUUAGUUUUUGCUUGUCUGAGAAGUUCUUUAAUUCUUAUUCAAUUCUGAAUUAUAACCUUUCUGGGUGAUGCAUCCUACGUUAUAGGUUUUACCUUUUCAGCACUUUAUCAUGCCACUUCCUUCUGGCCUAAAAAUUUUCUGUACAGUGAGCCGGGGGUUGGGCUGGAGGAGAGGAACCUGAAACUUGCCAGACGGUUUAACAUGCAAAUGCCCCACUGGGUUUUAGGUGGAGGAUGAAGGUUUGGCUACUUUCAGCUUCUUGCCAAACCCCCCUCUCUUCCCAUCCCAGUUGAGUUUCAAGAGGCCUGUAGAUGUGACAAGCGCUUUGUGUGGGGAAUUCAGGCCCGUGAAAGGGACAAGGAGACCCAGUUGAGGGAACAAACUUUUGAGGGUCAGUGGGGUCAGUGUAGAAUAAAUGUGUGGCACUGUUGUCAUUAAGGACACGCUCUCAGCAGGGUGUCCUGAGCCAGGUUCACAGGCCUGUUUAUUUAACACUGAAAUACCUAUGGCCUGCCCGGGUCUUGGGGAGAAAAGAGAGACUUAAACAGCAAAGGCCUGUACCUUCCAGCCUCAAAACAUUCUCCAAAAGCACAAAGACUUGUUUUUUUUCUAAUUACAGAGACGCCGCAGUCUGUGCAUAACCCAAAAUUCAUUGAUUAAUUAACCAAUGCAUUAAAAGAACUUCUAGAAUUUUCUUUGUUUCUCUCUGUCUUUCUAUUUUGUUCCCUCUCUCGCUCACUUUUUUCCCCUCUCCACACGACGGGAACUCCUUUUCCUGCCCUUUUCUAGAACCUCAUCCAGUGUGUGGAUGUACCAUACUUCAUUCAACCAUUUUUCUAUAUCUGUUAGGUUGUCACAUUACUUUACAAUUAAAAAUGGUUACAGUGUUAUGCAUAUGUAUUUUCUUACUGGUUGAGUUGUAUCUUCAAGGGAGAUUUUAGGAUUGGAACUUCUUGGUCAAAAAGGAAAUGCAAUAUAAUUCUGUUAUACAGGGAUUGCUCCCCCCCCCCCGCCCAAUUCUGGGCACACAGUGUCAUCAGAUAACCCUUAUUGGGAUGAUAGUGAACCACAGCAUUCUAAAAACCUCUAGGUUACGAGGUUAAGUCAUACUUUCCAUGAACAAAUUAAAUACUUCAACAGACGUUGUGUUCUUAGUGUGUACCGAGAAAUAUCCUAGAUACUGGGAGCAAAAAUGCAUAUUCUAGCAAUCCUAAGGAGGCACUUGCUUUAAUAGGUCAUUUUAAUGUGGGCUACAUGGUCCCCUGCUUCUCUAUGAUCCCAGAACAGAGUGACUUAAUAAAGUACAGCAAUACUUUCCCAAGCAUGAAUUCCCAUUGAAACAGAAUUCUACUUUACACAGAAUUGUUCCUGUUUCAUGUGAGAAACAGUACCUGAUAUAUCUGUUGGUGGUAUUUAAAAAAAAAAAAAAAAGAAAGAAAGAAAGAAGAAACUAAAGUUUGGGAAGGGAAAGAAGUAAAAGCAGAAAACAAACUAAGAAUAUAGGUGCAACCUCAUUUUCCAGCACAGUGUGUGGAGAA